GCUCAAAUUUGAAAUCUGCGCUCUUUCAGAGUCCGAGUUGUAAUUUGAAGAAGGUAUCUUUGGGUCUGGCUCUUGUCUAUGUUUCUUGGAACAGAACGUCACAGAGGGUGAGAAUCCCGUGCGAUGAGAUGAUCCAGGCCUAUGUAAAGUUCCUUCGAAGAGUCGAGUUGUUUGGGAAUGCAGCUCUAAGUGGGUGGUAAAUUCCAUCUAAAGCUAAAUAUUGGCGAGAGACCGAUAGCGAACAAGUACAGUGAUGGAAAGAUGAAAAGAACUUUGAAAAGAGAGUGAAAAAGUACGUGAAAUUGUUGAAAGGGAAGGGCUUGAGAUCAGACUUGGUAUUUUGUAUGUUACUUCUUCGGGGGUGGCCUCUACAGUUUAUCGGGCCAGCAUCAGUUUGGGCGGUAGGAGAAUUGCGUUGGAAUGUGGCACGGCUUCGGUUGUGUGUUAUAGCCUUUGUCGAUACUGCCAGCCUAGACUGAGGACUGCGGUUUAUACCUAGGAUGUUGGCAUAAUGAUCUUAAGUCGCCCGUCUUGAAACACGGACCAAGGAGUCUAACGUCUAUGCGAGUGUUUGGGUGUAAAACCCGUACGCGUAAUGAAAGUGAACGUAGGUGGGGGCCCGUAUGGGUGCACCAUCGACCGAUCCUGAUGUCUUCGGAUGGAUUUGAGUAAGAGCAUAGCUGUUGGGACCCGAAAGAUGGUGAACUAUGCCUGAAUAGGGUGAAGCCAGAGGAAACUCUGGUGGAGGCUCGUAGCGGUUCUGACGUGCAAAUCGAUCGUCGAAUUUGGGUAUA
rnacentral:rRNA from 1 species